GGUGAACGCUGGCGGCGUGCUUAAGACAUGCAAGUCGAACGGCAGUCUUCGGACUGUAGUGGCGCACGGGUGAGUAACGCGUAACUGACCUACCCCAAAGUCGCGGAUAACGAUUCGAAAGAAUCGCUAAUACGUGAUGUGCUGUCAGAUUGUGUUCUUCCAGUAAAGAUUGAUUGCUUUGGGAUGGGGUUGCGUUCCAUCAGCUAGUUGGUGGGGUAAAGGCCCACCAAGGCGACGACGGAUAGCCGGCCUGGGAGGGUGGCCGGCCACAGGGGCACUGAGACACGGGUCCCACUCCUACGGGAGGCAGCAGUUAGGAGUCUUCCACAAUGGGCGAAAGCCUGAUGGAGCGACGCCGCGUGAGGGAUGAAGGUCUUCGGAUCGUAAACCUCUGAAUCAGGGACGAAAGACACUUCGGUGGGAUGACGGUACCUGAGUAAUAGCACCGGCUAACUCCGUGCCAGCCGCCGCCGUAAUAC
rnacentral:rRNA from 1 species